ACACUCCUACGGGAGGCAGCAGUGGGGAAUAUUGGACAAUGGGCGCAAGCCUGAUCCAGCCAUGCCGCGUGAGUGAUGAAGGCCCUAGGGUUGUAAAGCUCUUUCACCGGUGAAGAUAAUGACGGUAACCGGAGAAGAAGCCCCGGCUAACUUCGUGCCAGCAGCCGCGGUAAUACGAAGGGGGCUAGCGUUGUUCGGAUUUACUGGGCGUAAAGCGCACGUAGGCGGACUAUUAAGUCAGGGGUGAAAUCCCGGGGCUCAACCCCGGAACUGCCUUUGAUACUGGUAGUCUUGAGUUCGAGAGAGGUGAGUGGAAUUCCGAGUGUAGAGGUGAAAUUCGUAGAUAUUCGGAGGAACACCGGUGGCGAAGGCGGCUCACUGGCUCGAUACUGACGCUGAGGUGCGAAAGCGUGGGGAGCAAACAGGAUUAGAAACCCUAGUAGUCCC
rnacentral:rRNA from 1 species